rnacentral:rRNA from 1 species
GUGGAUAGGGGUGAAAGGCCAAACAAAUCUGGAGAUAGCUGGUUCUCCCCGAAAACUAUUGAGGUAGUGCCUCGUGUGUCGCUCCAGGGGGUAGAGCACUGUUUUGGCUAGGGGGACAUGGAGUCUUACCAAACCAAGGCAAACUCCGAAUACCUGGAAGCGUGAGCACGGGAGACAGAGCACCGGGUGCUAACGUCCGGACUCAAAAGGGAAACAACCCAGACCGCCGGCUAAGGUCCCAAAUAACAGCUAAGUGGAAAACGAAGUGGAAAGGCCGUGACAACCAGGAAGUUGGCUUAGAAGCAGCCAUCCUUCAAAGAAAGCGUAAUAGCUCACUGGUCGAGUCCUUCUGCGCGGAAGAUGUAACGGGGCUAAGCUGUUAACCGAAGCCGCGGAUGCACUGGUUAUCCAGUGCGUGGUAGGGGAGCGUUCUGUAAGUCUGCGAAGGCGGUUCGAGAGGACUGCUGGAGAUAUCAGAAGUGCGAAUGCUGACAUGAGUAACGUUAAAGCAGGUGAAAAGCCUGCUCGCCGUAAGCCCAAGGAUUCCUGCUCUACGUUCAUCGGAGCAGGGUGAGUCGGCUCCUAAGGUCAGGCCGAAAGGCGUAGCCGAUGGGAAUCAGGUUAAUAUUCCUGAACCUGCGUCAGAUGCGAUGGGGGGACGGAGCAUGGAAGAUCAUCCGGGUGUUGGAAGUCCCGGUUGUUUAGCGUAGGAGGUCUGCAGGCAAAUCCGCAGACGCAUCUCCAAGGCAAAGACACGUGCCGCCACGGCGGCGAAGUGAUCGGAAGUGCUUCCAAGAAAAGCCUCUAAGCCCCAGUCUGACGCGGACCGUACCGCAAACCGACACUGGUGGGCGAGCUGAAUAUGCUCAGGCGCUUGAGAGAACUCGGGAGAAGGAACUCGGCAAAUUGACACCGUAACUUCGGAAGAAGGUGUGCCGUAGUACCGUGAGAGGAGAGACACCUUGAGCGGGAAACGGUCUCAGAGAAUAGGUGGCUGCGACUGUUUAUUAAAAACACAGCACUCUGCAAAGUCGAAAGACGACGUAUAGGGUGUGAUGCCUGCCCGGUGCUGGAAGAUUAAUUGAUGGGGUGAGAGCCCUUGAUCGAAGUCCCAGUAAACGGCGGCCGUAACUAUAACGGUCCUAAGGUAGCGAAAUUCCUUGUCGGGUAAGUUCCGACCUGCACGA